GGGCCACCAGGUCACAGAGCUGCCGGGUCACAGAAGUGGGUGGCAGCCCAGGGCUGAAGCUGAGGAGGUCAUGCUUGCACCCAGCCACCGGCCACCACCGCAGUACAAGGCUCCAGCUCCGGUUUAUGUAUUAUUUUCCCUUAAUUGCCUCUGAGGCUGGUGGAUGCCAGCCAGGGAGGGUCUUAGAUCACAUCAGGGAGCCAUCUGCAAAUCUUCGUGCAGGGGGUGGUGGCCUGAGGGCAGCUUUCCUGAGGGGAGCUAAUCCCAGGCAGGCUCUGUAGCUCCUCAGGGGAGCUGGGUGGGGGUGGAGUGCCUCCCCCCAUCCCCAGCCUGUCUUAGAUUCGGGCCUUUAAUUUGGAUGGUGGUUGGCUAGAGGCCCGAAACCUUGAAUGCUGGAGGCUGCUGAGUCUUGUCCACCCCCCUCACGUAGGGAGGUGAUCCCUGACUUAGCGUGAUGGCUCUGGAGUCCGUGACGGGGAGGUGAAGCCAGGGUAGCUGGCUUUUGGGGAGCCACUCUGGUGACCUGGUUAUUCUAUGUGACAGAGGCAAGCCUAAGCCAUUCCUAAAGCCCUCACCUUUCCGAGAGCCCUGGGGCCAGGCCCCCACAGCUCUCACCUGGCUUCCCUCAGUCAAGGUCAAGUUGAAUGAAAGAACAUGGAAGGGCUUUGAGGUCCUUAAAGGCCCAGGCAAAUCCAGGUGUCUGCUGGGGCCCUGUACUAGGCCCUGUACUAGGGGGCCCACACCUGGCUGCUCAUCUACUGCCCCCUGCGGCCACCCCUUAGCGCGGUGGUGAGGGAAACUACAGCUUAGGGUGCCCAAGGCCACUCGGAGUGACACAGGCCUACCCAGCUCCAGGCUUCCCACUCUCCACCGGACGCCAAUACUGCUGUGAAGACCAGAGAGACACCCUUAUUCCCUUGGUCUGGCCUGUUGUUCCAGGAUGGGGACUCUGGAGCUAGGCCCCGGGGGACAAACCGCGCUCUCUUCGUGUGACCUCAAGCAAGUUACUCAACAGUCCUGGCCUUGGCCUCAUCACUUGUGACUGAUCGAGCAGCAGCACCUGCCUCCGAGCGCUCCUGGAGGACAGGGCAGCCUUGUUAGUGUUUCCAUGUCACCACGGCGGAAUCUGAGGCCCAGGAGACUUGACAGGGCUCCCAGACCCAGAAAAAGGGAGCCAGAACAAGAGAUCCCAGAACACGGGAAAGACGGCUGUGGCUGAAGUCGUAUCUGGGUUAAAACCCCAGGAGUGCUCCUCUUUAAUUUUUUGGUACAGCAGGAUCAAGGAAUCGAUUCACUCUGGUUAUGCUUCCUCCCAUUGUUUCUGUGGGCCGUGUUUGAUCUGUGUUUCACGUGUAGAUCUGCUAUCCACGCUCUGAAAGAAAUAAUAUAUUCUGCGUUGCACUGGG